UGCCAGCAGCCGCGGUAAUACGGAGGGUGCAAGCGUUGCUCGGAAUCACUGGGCGUAAAGCGUACGCAGGCGGAUUUGCAGGUCGAUUGUGAAAUCCCAAGGCUCAACCUUGGAACUGCUGUCGAAACCGCAAGUCUUGAGUACGGGAGAGGGACGCGGAAUUCCUGGUGUAGAGGUGAAAUUCGUAGAUAUCAGGAGGAACACCCGUGGCGAAAGCGGCGUCCUGGCCCGAUACUGACGCUCAUGUACGAAAGCGUGGGGAGCAAACAGGAUUAGAUA
rnacentral:rRNA from 1 species